GAGAGAGAGAGUCAGUGUGCGUCAGGAUUUAGUGAGAGGAGGAAGUGAGAGCAAGCCUACUCCUCCUCUCUUCUCCAGCUCAUCUCCUCCUCCUCCACUCUCCUCCACCUCUGCCGCGCCCUCACCCACGCCCGCACACGCUCAGCAUCCAAGAAAGAAGGUUAGAGAAAAUUAGAGAAAAUUAAAGAAAAUUAAAGAAACAAUAAAGAACAAGAAGAAAAAGAAAGAAAAUAAAGAAAGUGAGAGAAAAUAGAGAAAAAAAAGAGAGAGAAAAAGAAGAUAAUGAAGGAGGCAACCGUGAGUGAAUCCCGGUAGAGCUAUCUCACUCUCUCUCUCUCUCUCUCUCUCUCUCUCUCUUUAAAAGCAAGAAUUCUCACGAGAUAAAGAAAAGAGAGAGAGAAGAGAGAGAGAAUGACUUUAAAGCGAGAUAUUAAAGAGAGAGAGAAUGUGAGCCAGUUAAAGCUAUCUCACAUGACAAAAGUGAGAGAAUUUUGAAAGAUAGUCCAAGUAGAGAGAGAGAGAGAGGGGAAAUGUGAGCCAGAUUAAAGAAAGUGAGAAAAUUAAAGAUAGUUGGAAAUUGAAGUGAGAGAGAGAUUAAAGACAAUG